rnacentral:rRNA from 1 species
AGUGAACGCUGGCGGUAGGCCUAACACGUGCAAGUCGAACGGCAGCACAGUAAGAGCUUGCUCUUACGGGUGGCGAGUGGCGGACGGGUGAGGAAUACAUCGGAAUCUACUUUUUCGUGGGGGAUAACGUAGGGAAACUUACGCUAAUACCGCAUACGACCUACGGGUGAAAGCAGGGGAUCUUCGGACCUUGCGCGAUUGAAUGAGCCGAUGUCGGAUUAGCUAGUCGGCGGGGUAAAGGCCCACCAAGGCGACGAUCCGUAGCUGGUCUGAGAGGAUGAUCAGCCACACUGGAACUGAGACACGGUCCAGACUCCUACGGGAGGCAGCAGUGGGGAAUAUUGGACAAUGGGCGCAAGCCUGAUCCAGCCAUACCGCGUGGGUGAAGAAGGCCUUCGGGUUGUAAAGCCCUUUUGUUGGGAAAGAAAAGCAGCAGGUUAAUACCCCGCUGUUCUGACGGUACCCAAAGAAUAAGCACCGGCUAACUUCGUG